rnacentral:rRNA from 1 species
GAUGAACGCUGGCGGCGUGCCUAAUACAUGCAAGUCGAGCGAACAGACGAGGAGCUUGCUCCUCUGACGUUAGCGGCGGACGGGUGAGUAACACGUGGAUAACCUACCUAUAAGACUGGGAUAACUUCGGGAAACCGGAGCUAAUACCGGAUAAUAUAUUGAACCGCAUGGUUCAAUAGUGAAAGACGGUUUUGCUGUCACUUAUAGAUGGAUCCGCGCCGCAUUAGCUAGUUGGUAAGGUAACGGCUUACCAAGGCAACGAUGCGUAGCCGACCUGAGAGGGUGAUCGGCCACACGGGAACUGAGACACGGUCCAGACUCCUAAGGGAGGCAGCAGUAGGGAAUCUUCCGCAAAGGGCGAAAGCUUGACGGAGCAACGCCGCGUGAGUGAUGAAGGUCUUCGGAUCGUAAAACUCUGUUAUUAGGGAAGAACAAAUGUGUAAGUGACUAUGCACGUCUUGACGGUACCUAAUCAGAAAGCCACGGCUAACUACGUG